UGGGGAAUUUUGGACAAUGGGGGAAACCCUGAUCCAGCCAUCCCGCGUGUGCGAUGAAGGCCUUCGGGUUGUAAAGCACUUUUGGCAGGAAAGAAACGUCGCGGGUUAAUACCCCGCGAAACUGACGGUACCUGCAGAAUAAGCACCGGCUAACUACGUGCCAGCAGCCGCGGUAAUACGUAGGGUGCAAGCGUUAAUCGGAAUUACUGGGCGUAAAGCGUGCGCAGGCGGUUCGGAAAGAAAGAUGUGAAAUCCCAGAGCUUAACUUUGGAACUGCAUUUUUAACUACCGGGCUAGAGUGUGUCAGAGGGAGGUGGAAUUCCGCGUGUAGCAGUGAAAUGCGUAGAUAUGCGGAGGAACACCGAUGGCGAAGGCAGCCUCCUGGGAUAACACUGACGCUCAUGCACGAAAGCGUGGGGAGCAAACAGGAUUAGAUACCCUGGUAGUCCACGCCCUAAACGAUGUCAACUAGCUGUUGGGGGCCUUCGGGCCUUGGUAGCGCAGCUAACGCGUGAAGUUGACCGCCUGGGGAGUACGGUCGCAAGAUUAAAACUUAAAUGAAUUGAC
rnacentral:rRNA from 1 species